GAUGAAGAACGCAGCGAAAUGCGAUAAGUAAUGCGAAUUGCAGAAUUCCAGUGAGUCAUCGAAUCUUUGAACGCACAUUGCGCCCUUUGGUAUUCCGAAGGGCAUGCCUGUUCGAGCGUCAUUAUCACCCCUCAAGCCCUCGGCUUGGUGUUGGACGGUUUGGUGGAGGCCCCCUCGGGGGCUCCUCCCCCUCCCAAAGACAAUGACGGCGGCCUCGUUGGACCCCCGGUACACUGAGUUCUUCACGGGACACGUAUCGGACACAUGGGUUUACGGGACACGGUCUGCCUCCCCUCAGGGAGAAUCUUUCUAAGGUUGACCUCGGAUCAGGUAGGGAUACCCGCUGAACUUAAGCAUAUCAAUAAGCGGAGGA
rnacentral:misc_RNA from 1 species